rnacentral:rRNA from 1 species
AUUGAACGCUGGCGGCAGGCCUAACACAUGCAAGUCGAGCGGAUGAAGGGAGCUUGCUCCUGGAUUCAGCGGCGGACGGGUGAGUAAUGCCUAGGAAUCUGCCUGGUAGUGGGGGAUAACGUCCGGAAACGGGCGCUAAUACCGCAUACGUCCUGAGGGAGAAAGUGGGGGAUCCUCGGACCUCACGCUAUCAGAUGAGCCUAGGUCGGAUUAGCUAGUUGGUGGGGUAAAGGCCUACCAAGGCGACGAUCCGUAACUGGUCUGAGAGGAUGAUCAGUCACACUGGAACUGAGACACGGUCCAGACUCCUACGGGAGGCGGCAGUGGGGAAUAUUGGACAAUGGGCGAAAGCCUGAUCCAGCCAUGCCGCGUGUGUGAAGAAGGUCUUCGGAUUGUAAAGCACUUUAAGUUGGGAGGAAGGGCAGUAAGUUAAUACCUUGCUGUUUUGACGUUACCAACAGAAUAAGCACCGGCUAACUUCGUG